GAUGAACGCUGGCGGCGUGCCUAAUACAUGCAAGUCGAGCGAACAGACGAGGAGCUUGCUCCUCUGACGUUAGCGGCGGACGGGUGAGUAACACGUGGAUAACCUACCUAUAAGACUGGGAUAACUUCGGGAAACCGGAGCUAAUACCGGAUAAUAUAUUGAACCGCAUGGUUCAAUAGUGAAAGACGGUUUUGCUGUCACUUAUAGAUGGAUCCGCGCCGCAUUAGCUAGUUGGUAAGGUAACGGCUUACCAAGGCAACGAUGCGUAGCCGACCUGAGAGGGUGAUCGGCCACACUGGAACUGAGACACGGUCCAGACUCCUACGGGAGGCAGCAGUAGGGAAUCUUCCGCCAUGGGCGAAAGCCUGACGGAGCAACGCCGCGUGAGUGAUGAAGGUCUCCGGAUCGUAAAACUCUGUUAUUAGGGAAGAACAAAUGUGUAAGUAACUAUGCACGUCUUGACGGUACCUAAUCAGAAAGCCACGGCUAACUACGUG
rnacentral:rRNA from 1 species